rnacentral:hammerhead_ribozyme from 1 species
AUCCAUCUGAUGUAUCCCAAAUAGGACAAAACUCGUGUCCUGGAU